rnacentral:misc_RNA from 1 species
GGGCUUGUUGGGUUAGAUGGUCACAAAUGGGCUAUUCACAGAAGGAUCAGCAACCACGCCUUUAACAUGGAGAUAGUAAAGGGUUGGAUUUCUGAGAUGGUUGAUAGCACAACAAAGUUGUUGAACAAGUGGGAAGACAUAACUAGUGCAAGAGACCAGUUUGAGAUCGAUGUACACAAAGAAUUUCACAAACUUUCAGCAGACAUCAUUUCUAGGACCGCUUUUGGAAGUAGUUUUGAGGAGGGAAAGCAUAUUUUUGAAUUACAAGACCAGCAAGUGAGCCUUGUUUUAGAGGCCAUACGAAGUGUCUAUAUUCCUGGAUUCAGAUUUUUACCCACCAAGAAGAACAGAUUGAGGAAAAGACUGGAGAAGGAAACUAGAGAUGCAAUUAGAAUGUUGUUAAACAAUUGCAGCAUAACAGCAAACAAUUCAAAAAGCUUGCUUUCUUUGUUAAUGCAUCCAAUCAAGAAUCAGGAUGACAAACAGGAAAAAC